rnacentral:tRNA from 1 species
GCCUUCUUGGCUCAGUUGGCAGAGCGUCUGCCUAGUAAGCAGAAGGUCACCAGUUCGACUCUGGUAGAAGGCA